rnacentral:rRNA from 1 species
AGAACGAACGCUGGCGGCAGGCCUCAAACAUGCAAGUCUAGGGGGCGUAGCAAUACGUCACCGGCGGACGGGUGCGUAACACGUGGGAAUGUACUUACUGGUUCGGAACAACUCAGGGAAACUUGAGCUAAUACCGAAUGUGCCCGAAAGGGGAAAGAUUUAUCGCCAGUAAAUCAGCCCGCGUCCGAUUAGCUAGUUGGUGGGGUAAAGGCCCACCAAGGCGACGAUCGGUAGCUGUUCUGAGAGGAAGAUCAGCCACACUGGGACUGAGACACGGCCCAGACUCCUACGGGAGGCAGCAGUUGGGAAUCUUGGACAAUGGGGGAAACCCUGAUCCAGCCAUGCCGCGUGGGUGAUGAAGGCCUUCGGGUUGUAAAACUCUUUCGACGGGGACGAUAAUGACGGUACCCGUAGAAGAAGCUCCGGCUAACUUCGCGCCAGCAGCCGC